GACGAACGCUGGCGGCGUGGAUUAGGCAUGCAAGUCGGACGGUAGGGCUUUAUCGUAAGAUAGAGUUUGAGAGUGGCGAAUGGGUGAGUAACACGUAGGAAUCUACCCUUAAGACGGGGACAACCCAGGGAAACUUGGGCUAAUACCGGAUGAGAGUGCGAGAGAUUGCAUUUAAAAGGAUGGCGAAAGUUAUCGCUUAGGGAUGAGCCUGCGGUCUAUUAGUUAGUUGGUGGGGUAAGAGCUCACCAAGGCGAUGAUAGAUAGGCGGCCUUAACGGGUGGUCGCCCACACUGGGAUUGAGAUACGGCCCAGACUCCUACGGGAGGCAGCAGUCGAGAAUAGUCUACAAUGGCCGGAAGGCUGAUAGUGCGACGCCGCGUGAACGAGGGAGCCCUUCGGGUGUAAAGUUCUUUUCUUAUACGAGCAGUGCUAUAUAUAUGGAUAGUAUAUAUAGAGGGAUAGUAGUAUAGGAAUAAGACAACGGCUAACUCCGUGCCAGCAGCC
rnacentral:rRNA from 1 species